rnacentral:rRNA from 1 species
ACGAUGAUAGCUUGCUAUCAGGCGUCGAGCGGCGGACGGGUGAGUAAUACUUAGGAAUCUACCUAGUAGUGGGGGAUAGCACGGGGAAACUCGUAUUAAUACCGCAUACGACCUACGGGAGAAAGGGGGCAGUUUACUGCUCUCGCUAUUAGAUGAGCCUAAGUCGGAUUAGCUAGAUGGUGGGGUAAAGGCCUACCAUGGCGACGAUCUGUAGCUGGUCUGAGAGGAUGAUCAGCCACACCGGGACUGAGACACGGCCCGGACUCCUACGGGAGGCAGCAGUGGGGAAUAUUGGACAAUGGGGGAAACCCUGAUCCAGCCAUGCCGCGUGUGUGAAGAAGGCCUUUUGGUUGUAAAGCACUUUAAGCAGUGAAGAAGACUCCGUGGUUAAUACCCACGGACGAUGACAUUAGCUGCAGAAUAAGCACCGGCUAACUCUGUGCCAGCAGCCGCGGUAAUACAGAGGGUGCAAGCGUUAAUCGGAAUUACUGGGCGUAAAGGGAGCGUAGGUGGCUCGAUAAGUCAGAUGUGAAAUCCCCGGGCUCAACCUGGGAACUGCAUCUGAUACUGUUGAGCUAGAGUAUGUGAGAGGAAGGUAGAAUUCCAGGUGUAGCGGUGAAAUGCGUAGAGAUCUGGAGGAAUACCGAUGGCGAAGGCAGCCUUCUGGCAUAAUACUGACACUGAGGCUCGAAAGCGUGGGUAGCAAACAGGAUUAGAUACCCUGGUAGUCCACGCCGUAAACGAUGUCUACUAGUCGUUGGGUCCCUUGAGGACUUAGUGACGCAGCUAACGCAAUAAGUAGACCGCCUGGGGAGUACGGCCGCAAGGUUAAAACUCAAAUGAAUUGACGGGGGCCCGCACAAGCGGUGGAGCAUGUGGUUUAAUUCGAUGCAACGCGAAGAACCUUACCUGGUCUUGACAUAUCUAGAAUCCUGCAGAGAUGCGGGAGUGCCUUCGGGAAUUAGAAUACAGGUGCUGCAUGGCUGUCGUCAGCUCGUGUCGUGAGAUGUUGGGUUAAGUCCCGCAACGAGCGCAACCCUUGUCCUUAGUUACCAGCGGGUUAAGCCGGGAACUCUAAGGAUACUGCCAGUGACAAACUGGAGGAAGGCGGGGACGACGUCAAGUCAUCAUGGCCCUUACGACCAGGGCUACACACGUGCUACAAUGGUAGGUACAGAGGGCAGCUACACAGCGAUGUGAUGCGAAUCUCAAAAAGCCUAUCGUAGUCCAGAUUGGAGUCUGCAACUCGACUCCAUGAAGUAGGAAUCGCUAGUAAUCGCGGAUCAGAAUGCCGCGGUGAAUACGUUCCCGGGCCUUGUACACACCGCCCGUCACACCAUGGGAGUUGAUUGC